rnacentral:rRNA from 1 species
UCCGUAGGUGAACCUGCGGAAGGAUCAUUAGAGAAAUCUAUAUGAAUGAAGUUAGAGGACGUCUAAAGAUACUGUAAGAGAGGAUCAGGUUCAAGACCAGCGCUUAAUUGCGCGGUUGCGGCUUGGUUCGCCUUUUGCGGAACAUGUCUUUUCUCGUUGUAACUCUACUUCAACUUCUACAACACUGUGGAGUUUUCUACACAACUUUUCUUCUUUGGGAAGAUACGUCUUGUGCGUGCUUCCCAGAGGUGACAAACACAAACAACUUUUUAUUAUUAUAAACCAGUCAAAACCAAUUUCGUUAUGAAAUUAAAAAUAUUUAAAACUUUCAACAACGGAUCUCUUGGUUCUCGCAUCGAUGAAGAACGCAGCGAAAUGCGAUACGUAAUGUGAAUUGCAGAAUUCCGUGAAUCAUCGAAUCUUUGAACGCACAUUGCGCCCCUUGGUAUUCCAGGGGGCAUGCCUGUUUGAGCGUCAUUUCCUUCUCAAACAAUCAUGUUUGGUAGUGAGUGAUACUCUGUCAAGGGUUAACUUGAAAUUGCUAGCCUGUUAUUUGGUUGUGAUUUUGCUGGCUUGGAUGACUUUGUCCAGUCUAGCUAAUACCGAAUUGUCGUAUUAGGUUUUACCAACUUCGGCAGACUGUGUGUUGGCUCGGGCGCUUUAAAGACUUUGUCGUAAACGAUUUAUCGUUUGUUUGAGCUUUUCGCAUACGCAAUCCGGCGAACAAUACUCUCAAAGUUUGACCUCAAAUCAGGUAGGAAUACCCGCUGAACUUAAGCAUAUCAAUAAGCGGAGGA